rnacentral:tRNA from 1 species
GAGCCUAUAGCUCAGCCAGGUUAGAGCACCGCUCUUAUAAGGCGGGGGUCCACAGUUCAAAUCUGUGUAGGCUCA